GGAGAAGCUUUUAGACUAAGCCUAAUAUAGUUGUAAUGUAGGCUAAAUAGUUCAAUUUAGAGAACUCGUCAGGAAAAUUCCAGAAUCUGGUCUGCAAUAGUUGCCAGUCCCCAGGUCCACCACAACUGCAGGACAGAAGAAUAAAAAUCUCACAGGAAGUAGGAGCUGGCUACCCCUGCAGGAAGGGAGGAGCCCCGACACUGCUGGCUAUGUAGAAAGGAAACCAUCCAGGGGACAAUGAAUGUCUAUGAGCCUGCUCUCAAAGAUUCUGAAUUCUAGGAUUCGAAGUCUUUAAGUUUAGAUACAGAAACCCUAUGUCAAUAAACAGCAAACAAACAAACAAGCAAGCAAA
rnacentral:lncRNA from 1 species